rnacentral:rRNA from 1 species
AGCGAACGCUGGCGGCAGGCUUAACACAUGCAAGUCGAGCGGGCAUCUUCGGGUGUCAGCGGCGGACGGGUGAGUAACGCGUGGGAACGUGCCUUCUGGUUCGGAAUAACUCAGGGAAACUUGAGCUAAUACCGGAUACGCCCUUUUGGGGAAAGGUUUACUGCCGGAAGAUCGGCCCGCGUCUGAUUAGCUAGUUGGUGGGGUAACGGCCUACCAAGGCGACGAUCAGUAGCUGGUCUGAGAGGAUGAUCAGCCACACUGGGACUGAGACACGGCCCAGACUCCUACGGGAGGCAGCAGUGGGGAAUAUUGGACAAUGGGGGCAACCCUGAUCCAGCCAUGCCGCGUGGGUGAUGAAGGCCUUAGGGUUGUAAAGCUCUUUUAUCCGGGACGAUAAUGACGGUACCGGAGGAAUAAGCCCCGGCUAACUUCGUGCCAGCAGCCGCAGUAAUAC